GUUUCCUAGUACAAUCUUCCCUUUCUGACUUGUCGCUAUAUUCUGUCCCUGUCCAUUUGAGUGUUUUCAUCCUUUACUUCUUUUAAAAGGGACACCCUUGUGUUAUUAUUAAAUACAUUUAUUUAUAAUGCUGGUGUGUUCUAGAGUUCAUUUAGAUUUUUGGACUCCCAAUACCUUAAAAAAACCUAUUUCUUAUAUCUAGCAACGAGACAGUGUCCUCAUCAAAGUUCAGAUCCACCCCUGGAAGAUCUUCAUUAGUGAUGACUGUAAACUGAGAAGGGCAAUCAACACCCUCUGUUUCAGUGCCUGCAAUUUGUCUA